rnacentral:rRNA from 1 species
GAUGAACGCUGGCGGCGUGCCUAAUACAUGCAGGUCGAGCGAACGGACGAGAAGCUUGCUUCUCUGAUGUUAGCGGCGGACGGGUGAGUAACACGUGGAUAACCUACCUAUAAGACUGGGAUAACUUCGGGAAACCGGAGCUAAUACCGGAUAAUAUUUUGAACCGCAAGGUUCAAAAGUGAAAGACGGUCUUGCUGUCACUUAUAGAUGGAUCCGCUCUGCAUUAGCAAGUUGGUAAGGUAACGGCUUACCAAGGCAACGAUGCAAAGCCGACCUGCUAGGGUAAUCGGCCACGCUGGAACUGAGACACGGUCCAGCCCCCUACGGGACGCCCCGGUAGGCAACCUUGCGAGAUGGACCCAUGCCUAACGGAUCAACACCACGUCAGUUAUGAGGGUCUUCGGACCGUCAAACUCUGUUAUUAGGGAAGGACAUAUGUGUAAGUGACUGUGCACAUCUUGCCGGUACCUCAUCAGAAACCCACGUCUAACUACGUG